GCUCCGCAUUUAUGCAACUCCCUUAAUUGCUGAUAUCAAUAGUGAUGGGAAGCUUGACAUAGUGGUUCCCUCAUUUCUUCACUACCUUGAAGUUUUAGAAGGUUCUGAUGGCGAUAAAAUGCCAGGUUGGCCUGCUUUUCACCAGUCAACCGUGCAUUCUAGUCCUCUCUUGUAUGAUUGAUA